UACGGAGGGUGCAAAGCGUUGCUCGGAAUCAUUGGGCGUAAAGCGCACGUAGGUGGCCUGUUAAGUCGGGUGUGAAAUCCCUGGGCUCAACCCAGGAAGUGCACUCGAAACUGGCAGGCUUGAGUACUGAAGAGGGUCGCGGAAGUUCCCGGUGUAGAGGUGAAAAUUUGGUAGAUAUCGGGAGGAACACCCGUAGGCGAAAGCGGCUCGC
rnacentral:rRNA from 1 species